rnacentral:lncRNA from 1 species
AAAAAACUCAAAUAAAGCUGCAAAGCAGCUGCGUGAGGGCAGCGCGUGGGCUGGGGCGCAGGGCAGGAGCCGGGGCAGAGCCGCCGCCGCUUCCCUCCGUCUCCGCCUGCGUCCGCGCCCGCCGUGCAAACACUGCGGCGGGUUUUGGGGAGGUGCAGAGCGGGGCCGAUAGCCCCCGCGUGCGCCCGGCGCGUCCCCGUCCCCUUCGGAAGCGCUGCUCUGCGCCACGGCUGUCCAUGGGAUCGGGGCAGCGGGGCUUUGCUGUCGCAGCCUUUCGGGUUGCCAGCAGCCGUUGCACGGCCGGUGCGGGGAUGCGGCUGGUGCCCCGGCUCCGCUCCGGCGUCCCCAUGCCAGAGGGAAUCCCGCCUGCUGCCCCCGGCCGCGUUGAGCCGCCUCUGGGUACCAGAAUACGCUGGGAGGAAGCCAAGGACAGCAGCGCUGCGCCCUGCCCUGGCAUCGCCCCGCCGGACCCCGCGCGGGAGGACAGAGCACGAGGGGCUCCACUCGGCGGCCGCUGAACCCCAACCUGGCCGAAGUCGAGCGCGCACGUAGGCAUCUUCCCGGGUUUCCAGCUGCUGAGCACGCAGGGACGUUAGGAGCGGAGCUGAAAAUACGCCCGUAAUACAGGAGAGAAAAGGUGAGAUUUAACACCGGGUUUUCCGGGGCCGGCUGCUGGCCCUGGCCGUAUGCUGUGCCCGGCCUGGCAGCGGCGGAGGCGCGUGUUUAACUGCAUGCAGGAUUUCAUCAGAAGCAUGCAAUUUGCUGGGUUCUCAGGAGAUAAAAGAGAAGGGCCAUAAUAUAUGCAGUGAUGGGAAGAUCUCAAAGCUAUUAAUGAGCUGUUAAUGAGCAUAAUCCUAAUUUUUUCCCUGGAGGUAGGUGGGU